GGUCAGCGGUAAUACCACCAAAUGGACCAGACAAAGACUUGACUAAAAAUGGCGCAGCAGCCAGAAAACCCAUCUGCAACAGAUAAAAAGUGUCACCGUGCUUCAUUACUGCAUUUCAAUUGGAAUUCAGAAGCCGAUUUUUGCUCACAUAUACGGAUGACACCGACCCGGGAGCGAACCAAGGUCGCAUUGGUGAGAGCCGAGCGCUCUCGACGCUACGUCAACCCAUGCUUCCCAAGACACAAAGAAAUUAAUUUAUGAAGACGUGACGACGUCAGCUACUCACAGUUUGGAUGUCUGUAUGCAAGAUAUCGAUCAGGUACAUUGGUAAUGAGAUAAGUAUCGUAUAUAGGCCCCAGUCUGCUGCUAAAUUCCCGGCCAUAAUAGCCCACACAGGAACUGACGUCAGAAGCGCUUUCCAAGGAACUGGAUCUGGGUUCUAUAUAACAAAUUAUAAAAUAUAUGAAAUAUAACUCGCGCGAUGAUUGGCUGGCUUCUGUGUUUAUAUCAGAGGACAGAGAAACUCGCGCAAAAUCAUUCAAUAAAUAUUGUACAAAAGCAAUAUAAAACGCUUACGACACUGAAUACUGUCUCUGUACUGUGUAUUAACGCGCUCGUUUUAGAUUCCUUAAACUCCUCGUACUUCCUUAUAUUCCUUUUGGGAGUAAAGUUCAACCCACUUUCACUCUCACACACCACUACAUUUAAUAUUCUAAGUUCACAACACUCAACGUGUUGAUUUUUUUUUUAAUCUUUUGUUUGGCUGCUUAGCUUACUCACAUUUAUAGAUUCUGUUUCUUUCAAGAUAAGUUGCUUCUCUUGUUCUGAAAUGGUCGGGUGGUCCUCGGGUGACUCGUGCACGACAAGCUGCCAGGCUGCGAACCAAAGUAUCCCAGCAGCACCUGGGAGCAAAAGAAGACAAAAUUUCAACCAUUUGAUCUAAGCACUUUACUAUAAAAAGGCCUCUUGUGUCUCUGGACUGUUCAUGUAAUACCAACGAGCUGGGAGUAUCCAGGAGAGCACGGCAGAAGCAAGUCUAGAUUACGAGCAAUUGCGGUCGCUUUUUUAUCAUUUCAUAGAGAACUUGCUUCCAUAAAUAAUACUGUUUGGCACGAAACGAAUAUUUUACGACUUAAGAAUACAUUUAAAAACUAUGUAAUUAGAUAUUACUGUUAUUUUCAUAAAAGUGCAAACUCGGUAGCUGCGAGCUGCACGCUGAAAUUAGUUUUUUUCCCUGCAGUCAAUCAAAACCAAUCAGUCGGUAACUUAUAUAUUUUUGACUAGCGGCAGUGAAAAACCAAUUUCCAAUGUUUAUGAAAAUAGGUGUUAGGAAACCAAGUUGAUUUUCACUACCAACCAAAGCAGUAGAAGACCGAUGCCCAUCCACCAUCGAAGCCAUAUCUUGUCAGUAAACCAGAGGUGCCCAUUUGCUCCAGAUAGCAUGGUUACAUGGAAACACUGCUCCCUGAAACAGAAAAUAGUAUGCUAAUUAUUCAAGGUAAGAGCGAUCGUGAGAUCCAUAAUAUGCAUUGUCUGUUGCUAUACAUUCAUCCAAUAUAAUUCAGGUACAUUCUUAUUGCUAUACGUCCGUGCAAUCCAUUUCAGAUACAUUCAUAUUCCUAUGCGUUCAUCCAAUCCAUUUCAGGGACAAUCUUAUUCCUAUACGUCCAUCCAAUCCAUUUCAGGUCCAUUCUUAUUGCUAUACGUCCAUCCAAUCCAUUUCAGAUACAUUCAUAUUCCUAUACGUCCAUCCAAUCCAUUUCAGGUACAAUCUUAUUCCUAUACGUCCAUCCAAUCCAUUUCAGGUCCAUUCUUAUUGCUAUACGUCCAUCCAAUACAUUUCAGAUACAUUCAUAUUCCUAUACGUUCAUCCAAUCCAUUUCAGGUACAAUCUUAUUCCUAUACGUCCAUCCAAUCCAUUUCAGGUACAUUCUUAUUUCUUUAUUCAAUUUAGUUCAAGAAUAUAUGUAUGUAUAUAUCUCACCA